GACGAACGCUGGCGGCGUGCUUAACACAUGCAAGUCGAACGGAAAGGCCCUGCUUUUGUGGGGUGCUCGAGUGGCGAACGGGUGAGUAACACGUGAGUAACCUGCCCUUGACUUUGGGAUAACUUCAGGAAACUGGGGCUAAUACCGGAUAUGAGCUCCUGCUGCAUGGUGGUGGUUGGAAAGUUUCGGCGGUUGGGGAUGGACUCGCGGCUUAUCAGCUUGUUGGUGGGGUAGUGGCUUACCAAGGCUUUGACGGGUAGCCGGCCUGAGAGGGUGACCGGCCACAUUGGGACUGAGAUACGGCCCAGAAUCCUACGGGAGGCAGCAGUGGGGAAUAUGGCACAAUGGGCGGAAGCCUGAUGCAGCAACGCCGCGUGCGGGAUGACGGCCUUCGGGUUGUAAACCGAUUUCGCCUGUGACGAAGCGUGAGUGACGGUAAUGGGUAAAGAAGCACCGGCUAACUACGUG
rnacentral:rRNA from 1 species